GACGAACCGUGCGAACGUUGUUCGGAAUCACUGGGCAUAAAGGGCGCGUAGGCGGCUUAUCAAGUCAGGGGUGAAAUCCGGCAGCUUAACUGUCGAAGUGCCCUUGAUACUGAUGAGCUCGAGGGAGAUAGGGGUGUGUGGAACUUCCGGUGGAGCGGUGAGAUGCGUUGAUAUCGGAAGGAACGCCGGUGGCGAAAGCGACACACUGGAUCUCUUCUGACGCUGAGGCGACGGAAAGCCAGGGGAGCAAACGGG
rnacentral:rRNA from 1 species